AUGGAAUUGAAUGCAUGUGCGGUAUCAUCGCUAUCGUGUGUUCUUGUGUGUCUGUACAACAAGCACACUACAUAGCGGUGCUUCCACGCACGUAAAUCUA